rnacentral:rRNA from 1 species
UUUAACUGAAGAGUUUGAUCAUGGCUCAGAUUGAACGCUGGCGGCAGGCUUAACACAUGCAAGUCGAGCGGGGGAAGGUAGCUUGCUACCGGACCUAGCGGCGGACGGGU